CACGUAGUUGGCCGGUGCUUCUUCUCGACCUACCGUCAACCCGCCAACAAGACGGGCCUUCGUCGAUCGCGAAAGAGGUUUACAACCCGAAGGCCGUCAUCCCUCACGCCGGCGUUGCUGCGUCAGGCUUUCGCCCAUUGCGCAAGAUUCCCCACUGCUGCCUCCCGUAGGAGUCUGGGCCGUGUCUCAGUCCCAGUGUGGCCGAUCACCCUCUCAGGCCGGCUAUCCGUCGUCGCCUUGGUAGGCCAUCACCCCACCAACAAGCUGAUAGACCGCGGGCCCAUCCCCCACCGACAAAAACUUUCCACCACUCGGCAUGCACCAAGAGGUCCUAUCCGGUAUUAGACCCAGUUUCCCAGGCUUAUCCCGAAGUGGAGGGCAGGUCACCCACGUGUUACUCACCCGUUCGCCGCUCGUGUACCCCGAAGGGCCUUACCGCUCGACUUGCAUGUGUUAAGCACGCCGCCAGCGUCGUCCUCGUAGCCAGGAUCAAAACUCU
rnacentral:rRNA from 1 species